UCCAUCCGCUGGUUAACUUCCCAAAUGGCUUCAACAACUGGAGCUGUGCCGGUCCGGAGCCAGGAGCUUCUUCUGGGUCUCCCAUGCAGGUGCUGGGACCCAAGGACUUAGGCCAUCUUCUACUGCUUUUCCAGGCCAUAGCAGAGAGCUGGAUCAGAAGAGGAGCAGCCAAGACUAGAACCGGAACCCAUAUGGGAUGCCAGCAGCGCUGCAGGUGGCAGCUUUACCCACUACAUCACAGCACCGGCCCCUACAAUGGAUCUUAAUCACUAGUUUAAAUGCCCACUCCAAUGAUUUUGUUUGUAAUUCCCAAUUACUCUUUCUGGUUCUGAUUAUUGUCUUUUUAUAGCAUUCUGGUUUUGUUUCUUACCUCUCUGUGUGAGAAGUAAUUGUAUUUUUUUAAGUAUCCUGUGUUCUCUAGGCGGCCUCAAUGAACUCUUGUGGUUUGUUUAUUUGGGUCUCUUUCCUGUUGGUGGCUCCCUGGAAUGUCUGAUUCUCCAGGUCUCUAUGUUCCUGUUAAAAGUGAGGUCCUAAACUGCUGAUCAAAGAUCCUGCCUGCAGGUGUGAAUUUACAGUCAGAUAAACUGCUCUGUGGUCAGUUAUGUGGCCUAGUGGCAAAGGGGAAAAGAAAGUGGAAUUGAGAUGAGACAUGAUUGGGGCCACUACUGUGGUGCAACAGGAAGCCGCUGCAUGCGGUGCCAGCAUCCCAUAUGACCGCCGGUUCAAGUCCCGGCUGUUCCACUUCCAAUCCAGCUCUGUGCUGUGGUCUGGGAGAGCAGUGGAGGAUGGCCCAGGUCCUUGGGCCCCUGCACACAUCUGGGGGACUCGGGAGAGGCUCCUGGCUCCUGGCUUCAGAUUGAUGCAGUUCUGGCCAUCUGGGGAGUGAACUGGCCUGCCUCCCUCCCUCCCUCUCCUCCUCCCUCCCUCCCUCUUUCUCUCUCCCUCUCUCUCUGCCUUUCAAAUAAAUAAAUUUUUUUUAAAAAGGGAGAGAUUAGACAUGAUUGCUAGGUUCAGAGCAUAGCGUACCAUGCACACCAAGGGAAGCAGUAGAGAUUUUGUCCCAGAGGCACUGAGAAUCUAAAUGAUGGUCUUCCUUAAGGUUUGCUUCUGGAGCCACUCCCAUUUCACCCUCAGAUGGAAAUUUCCUUACUUGGUUUUAUUCUCCAUAGUAUUUUUUCCUGGAUAGGAUUAUAUUUCACUUUUAGUGAGUAAACAUUGCUAUGGCCCUGUGGCUUUCCAUCUGCUGCCGUCUAUUGCAAACGUAAUUUAGUUCUUGCCUUCUGAACGUAGGCAUCCGGUCAUAACUCAAGCCACUUAUUCUCUUGCUAUCCAGGGAACCACAGAAUUCUAGUUGAUUGAAAUCAUUUGUGGCCUCCUUGGCUUCAACAUGAAUGAGUCAAUAAUGUGCAUUUGUGGGGUAGAUGGUUUAGUGAUUGCUCUUUUGAUAAAGUAGCUUUCUGGGUCUUUGCUUUCCAUCAGACCUAAUAAUUUUAUUUGUUCCAGGUGAUUCCAAGUAAAUAGGUGACAGUACUCAGCUCAACGGGUUAUACAAAAUUUCCUCAAAACACAGUGUCCUUUGCUAAUCAACCAAAGAUUUGUAACGAUCGUGUGUGGUAUGUGACUUGUAUCUGUGAGCAGGCAGUACUGUGUGUGAGCGAAGUGGGGAAGGGGUCCCUGCUUCAUGAAUGCAUGUGUUUUUUUCUUUUUUCUCUUUUUAUUUGACAGGUAGAGUUAGACAGUGAGAGAGAGAGAGAGAGACACAGAGAGAAAGGUCUUCCUUCUGUUGGCUCACCCCUCAAAUGGCUGCUGCGGCCGGCGCUGCACCGAUCUGAUCUGAAGCCAGGAGCCAGGUGCUUCCUCCUGGUCUCCCAUGAGAGUGCAGGGCCAAGGACCUGGGCCAUCCUCCACUGCACUCCCGGGCCACAGCAGAGAGCUUGCCUGGAAGAGGAGCAACCAGGACUAGAACCUGGCACCCAUAUGGGAUGCUGGCGCCGCAGGCAGAGGAUUAACCAAGUGAGCCAUGGCGCCGGCCCCUGUACAUGUGGUUUCCUCAUGGGUCAGCUCUGAGGGUGUUUGUCAUGGUGCCCCAGUGCACUCUGCACCAUGCAUCCUUGGCUGUGUGCCCUGUGCUAAUGCUGCCCCUCCCCAGAAGCAACAGGGUCCUUGAUUUUCAAGCAAGAAAAUGGCACACACAGCACAAGAGAUACCAUGUUUUCCCUCACGCACAUCCUUAUACAUGCAGCUGAUACACCUUAUAUAUGUUUUAGGAACCAGGCAGCAUCGAAAAAGGCAAAAUUUACAUCCUGGUAAAUCUCAGCCAUGUCUUGUAUGGUGCCAGACACUACUCGGGCACCAGGUGGGUGUGAGGAAUGUGAUGAUUCAGCUUUGCCUGUCAAGAAGUCCAGGGAGCACUUUGUAGCUCUCUGGUUAAGUAGAGUAGAACUCUCUGCCUCACAGGAAAGAGCCUUACAAGUCAUAUGAAUUAUGAGCUACUUUUGACAAGAAGAGUCCAUCCAACUAACACAAAACCAUUGCAAGAACCUAGCUCUUAAGUGUUUUUUGUGAUAAACACACUUACCUGCAUUUUUAUUGCCUUGCUGUUGGUGAGAGUGAAUGCCCACAGGGAAGGAGAAGGCUCCCUUGCUCCAAAGAGCUUAAGGCCCUUAAAGAUGAAAACUGAGAGGUCACUUCUGUUAAGCGGCAGAGAGAGAAGUCAGUAUACCAACUCCAUUUUCUCCUUGGGGUGUGGGGGGAGUUUGGAAGGACAGGUGCCUCUUGUAGGCUGAGCAGUUUGCACCUGCUAACAGGACAGGAGCAUCCUGUUGAGGGCUCAGAGAGCAAGAGGUCACCUCCUGUCACUUGAGCUGUCAGGGGAUGCUUUCAUAAUGACCAUUUACAGAGUGCACCUUGUCAAGAGUGGCCACAGAUUCCAUAUCAGUGCCUAGAGGAACUGCAGCUGGUGAACCUGGAAGGGUUACGGAAACUGAGUCAGGAGUUCAGUUACUCCAGAAAUGAGGCUGCACAGUCUUCACACGUCCUGAGAGUGAAGCGGAUUUACCAGUAGAUCAAACGCAAAAUUCCGAGGGUCAGGUCACAGUCAGUGGGUGGAGGUCCUGGAUGGACAAGGACACGGGAAACAGUAAGACUGAAUCAGAUUGUGCAACCUUUUACGUCUGUUUCAGCUCCAGUCAUGCCAGAGCAGGCGAGGAAGGAACCAAGUUCCUCUCCGAGUUGGAAACUCACAAGCCCACAAGUCUGGAUAACACGAGUCAGGGUUUCAACUGAUAUUGCACCCUAGAGAAAGGGAGAAUUUGCAUGCUGGUCCUGGCAGCGGGGUAGAAGGUCCUCUGUGGGCCCCUAGCUGUCAGGUAGAUUUUGAUUUUAGUUGUUCCUGGCGUUUGACUUCCUCAAAGCGAUUCCUCUCCACUCCCAUGCGGAUCUCGCAUUAGACCUUUGACAUAGACUGGUGUAGAUUUGAAAUCCCAGGUUCUGCACAGAGCCAUCAACCAGGCCAAGUUCUUGUCUGUGACUUACAAACGUCGCAGACUGUGCACACCUAAUCCAGAGGGGAGGGCUCCCGGGUGUGUGCAGGGGUUUAUUUCUCCCAAGUGCAAAGAGGAAUGGUGCACGAUGAUUUUUGUCCGUGUUUCCGUCACUUGCAUGCUGAGCUACAAAUGACUGAGUUUUCACCAACACAUCAUCUGUCCUUUCCCUUAUGUAGCAUUGGUUUGGGGAAGUUGCUACCCAGAAAAAGGGUUCACUUUCUCUGCCCUUGUUGAACCUCCCUGGGUCCAUGUGGCUGCUUGUCACCAUGGACUUAAGAGUGGAAACCAUGUCAUGGCUGGACCUGGGCAGGUGAGUCGUAGGUGUGCCUCAUUCCUCUGGCUGCCUCUUCUGCGCCUGGAUGCCAGGGCACCCUGCAAAGCGCCCGCAGGAGGUUGGGCUCUUGACUGGCCACAUAGAGAGAAGCCACCUUCCUAGUAGAAGCACUCAGAUCACAAAGCGAGAAACAGGCUUUGGUUGUGUUAGGCCAUUUGAGAUUUACACUAAAGGGGUUAGUAUCAGCCUGAUUAGUUUCGUUUACAAAUAGGAAUUAAAAAGUUCCCAAAUACGGCAAAUAAAAAUGCAGGAUGCCCAGUUAAAUUUGAAUUUUAGGCCGGCACCGUGGCUCAAUAGGCUAAUCCUCCGCCUGCGGCGCCGGCACACCGGGUUCUAGUCCUGGUUGGGAUGCCAGAUUCUGUCCCGGUUGCCCCUCUUCCAGGCCAGCUCUCUGCUGUGGCCCAGGAGUGCAGUGGAGGAUGGCCCAGGUCCUUGGGCCCUGCACCCCAUGGGAGACCAGGAUAAGUACCUGGCUCCUGGCUUCGGAUCAGCGCGAUGCGCCGACCGUGGCGGCCAUUGAGGGGUGAACUAACAGCAAAGGAAGACCUUUCUCUCUCUCUCUCUCUCUCUCUCACUCACUCACUCACUCUCACUGUCCACUCUGCCUGUCAAAAAAUUUUUUUUGAAUUUUAGACUAAGAAGUAGUUUUAAUAUGUCAAUUCUUUAGAAUAACAAAAUUUAGUGAAAGAUGAUUCUAAAUAUUAAUGCAUUAUUAUACUAAAACUUAUUGGCUGUUUACCUGAAGUCCAAGUUUAACUGGAUGUCUGUAUUUUAUCUGGUGACACUCCGAUUAUGAAGAAGCAAAUCUAAGAGUUAGCGACAUGGUUGUGUUUAGACAAUUAAUUUGUUGUGUGCAGCAUUUUAUUUUGCAAGAGCUUUGUUUCUGAAUAAAUGUUUUUCUGUAAUUCUGUCCUCGACGGUGAAUUGCGGAGUGGAAAACCCCAAGCCAAUUACUGCCUCAGACAUUCUAGAGUGAAAAUUUGCUGAAGGGCUGCUUGUAAACCUGACUGGAACCGAGUAAGAAAUAAAAGUGAUUAAAAAAGAAAAGAGCAGUAAAAAUGAGUGAGAGGCGCUCAGCCCAGCAGUUAAAAUGCCUGCAUUGCCCACGCUGGAGUGUCUGGGUCUGACUCCCAGCCCUGCCCCUGCCCCUGCUUGGUGCCAUGCAGACCCUAGGAGGCAGUGGCAGCAGAUGAUGGAAUGGGUUACUGCCUCCCAAGACCAGGAGAGAUCAGGGCUGUGUUCCCACCCGGGACCCUUGCCAUCCCACCUUCAGCUGUUGCAGGCUUUUGGGCAACAAACCAGCAGAUAGAAGUGGUGGCUUGUGCUUGCUAGCUUGCUCUCCUGUUCCUUCUCUCUCUCCCUCCACCACCUCCCAUAUCAGUAAAUAAACUUCUAAAAAUAAGUUAAAUACCCAAAUGGAUACAUAUCUAAUGAAGACAAUUCUACCACUUGAAUUGUAUUUCCUGUUGAUGGGGAUAAAGAAGAAAAAUGGGCUCAGUGUAUUUCCAAAGAAAAUCGUGCAGAGCCUGGGACCUCAGUAACUGCUGGCCCAGGGCUGUUUCCUUUCCUGCCUACCUAGGAAGUCACGGAGCGUGAGAUAUGUGCGCUCCGGCGCUGCAACAGUGAACCAUAGACUUUCAAAGAAUUAUCAAUCAGAGAAAAGAAAGAGUAGUUCAACAUUCCUAUAUUUUCAUUAAAACCUCUUCAUAAACAAGAGCGGUAAUAGAAAUACCUUUCUUUUUUUUUUAAACUUUUAUUUAGUAAAUAUAAUUUCCAAAGUGCAGUUUAUGGAUUACAAUGGCUUUUCCCCCUAUAACUUCUCUCCCAUCCCUCCCAUCUCCCACUCCCUCUCCCAUUCCAUUCACAUCAAGAUUCAUUUUCAAUUAUUUUUAUAUCCAGAAGAUGAAUUUAGUAUACAUUAAGUAAAGAAGAAAUGCCUUUCUAAAAUAAAAGCAUGUGAUAACAUGCCAGGUUUUAAUUAAGAGAAAGCCAGUGAUUCUUUCUAUCACUUAAUUAAAUCCUCUCUUUUCAUAGAGGGAGAACUCAAGCCCAGAAAAGGAAUGAAUGUGUCCCAAAACCACACAGCUGAUGAGUGCUGUGAACCUGUCAAGUGUCUGCUUUAAAAAAAAAAAAAAGUCACGUCUUUCUCUUAAAAUUCCUAUAAAUGGAAGCAAACUGAGGGAAAAAAGGUCAAAUUCUGUUUCGCUGUGAAGAGAACAAUGCGCGUUUUUAAUUACCUUGAUUAAAAACAGUAGAACUUCCCAGUGAUGUGACACAGCUCUCUGGUAAGAGUAGCAAGCCAGAGAGACUUCCAGACGUUGAAGUGGGCUGCGUGUGCCCCGGCCCAGCGCCUGUGAAGCCGUGAAGCCGUGCCGUAACCCCCCGCGGGCUCCUCUGAGAGGUGUCUUUUCCUCUCAUUGGAAACACUGAUGGGAUUUGUGAGCAACUGUGAACCAAAAGAACAUUGGGAAGGCUUUCAUGGUAGAGGCUGGAUGGUUAACGCUAAGCGAAUGCCAGCCAGGAAACAUCAAUACAGGGCGGUUCUUAUAUUGGAGUACAGAACUUUCAUGGCCAUUAUCUGCCAAGCCCAAAAGGUCACCGUGUGUAUCUCUCAACCUUGGCAGCUAAAGCCUUGUGCAUUCAAAAGUUAUUGAUCUUCAGUUGGGGUUAGGCUGUGCCAGGCCCUGGCACCAACCUGAGCUUGUCUGACUUUUUCCACUUCACUGCAUGAGAGCUUUAACUCCUUAAAAAUAACAACAGAGUGAGUGUAUUUGGGCUAAAAUGGUCAUUAGAAACAUGUAUUUUUGGAUAGCGUCAUAAGCAGAUGAAAGAAAUUUUGAUGUGUAAUUGUUGGAAACUCUCCAAUGGUAUUUUAAAACAACAAAGUUAAAACUUUGAAGGUCUGGUCCAGGCAUAAGAAUGAUUCUUCUAAAAUUGUUCUCCAGUUUAUGUUGUCUAUUAAAUGUGACUUAGGAGGUAGUCCUGCCUCACGCCCAUGUUGUGCCCUGGCUAAGCAGAGCCAGAGAACGGGGCCAGAUGACUCCGUCAGGGUUCUAUGUAAAUCCUCAGGGAACAGUGCAGAGUUGAGUAAUAGUCACACCUGACAGAUUGAUGAUGCUGGUGACAAAAAAGUCUCAUUGUUGCAGGAUGAAAUAGGCUCUUAUGGAAGCAGGAAGAAAUGAAAGUAAUCCAAAAUGUUUCUUGCUACAAAAAUGAUGUGUGUAUGGCGUUCCUGGCAUCACUUGGGAUCGUGGCAUUCCGUUAAUAUUUUGGCUCAAAUGUCUCAUAGCGAUUUAAUGAGUCUUUUUCAUAUAAUCCUUCUUAAAAAUAGUUCAUAAUGAGGUCUUGCUGAUAUCAUACAUUUUGCAGGUUGAGCCGCAUGUGUGGUAGCUUGACUGCUUGCCUUAUUACCCAUAAUAAUCUGAAAGAAGAAUUCAUAUUGCUUGGUUUUCCUCUAACAGUCUUUUCCCCCCUGCCCCUGCCCGCUGUAGAUGGCUCUCCUGUAUUUGUAAUUUAAUUGUAAUUUCAAAAUACAAAAAGUAUUUUAAGAGUCCUGUUAAGUACUUGUGUCAUUUCUUUUUCAGAAAUAUAGUUUUUGUUUACUGAUAGCUCACUGUUUCCCAAAGAAAUGCAACUCUGUAAUGAAAUAGCUAUGGAUAAUAGAUAUAAUCUGUGUACAGCAAAUAGAACAUUCCAUUGUAGGCACUGUGGCUCGAAUAACGUGAAUGUUAUUCUCAGCCGACUUCCCUGCUCCUGUUCUGCCCAGGUAGCUCCUGCCCCACUGGGGGCAGAUCGCCUCCUUGCCUUCCAGUCCUGGAAGCCAGGAGCAGGAGCUGACCUGCAGAUCCGCAUUCUCCACUGCCCAGAGCAUCUCAAAGUUAGCGUGUUCCGCGUGGACCACGUGUCUUUCCUGCAAAGCUGCUUCUGAUUCCAAAAUGCUCCUGUGCUUCUCCAUAUGUCUCUCUACAUUGGAGUAUAGGAGCGAUUGAAACAGGCUGUAAACCAGGCUGCCUGGGUUCCAAUCCUGGCUUUACCUACUUGCUGACCUGGGACAUGUUGCUUAAAGUGCCUCAAUUUCCUGAUCUUUAAAGUGGACAUAACACCUGUCUCUUGGUGAUUAAUGAUGAUUGAGCAAAGCUGAUCGGACAGUGGCUAAAACAUGGAGACAGAUUUUCUGUAAAGAUGAGCCAUUAUGAAUUGCAGCAGCUUUAUAAUCUAGUCAGUCCUAGAAUUUCCAGCUUUGGUCUUCAUCAUUUCUCCCCUGACACUGGUAUUUUAGUUCAAUUCCUCCUCAUUCCUCACCCAGGAUGGCAUUGUUCUCUGCUGUAUUUGAUGUUUCCUAACUAUUUGCAAGUGUCUAAUUAUAUCGUAUUCUUGACUACAAAGAUAGACUCAGUCUUUUUUUUCAAAGCAUGCAAUUUUUUUUUUCAUUCCAGCCACUUAGCAAAAGACAUAUUAUAUUGUCAGGCCUAACAGAUUCUCCCACUCCUACUCACUACUUUACUUUUUAAUGUAUGUAUAAUGUUUACAUAUGAAACAAAUAUGGCAAAAUGUUAGGACUUGUGAAAUCUGUGCAUGUUUAUUGAACUUAUCUUUAUACUUUUUUGCAUUGUUUAAAAUAUUUCAAACAUAGAAAGAUUAGAAAAUAGAAUCAAGAUGUCUAGCAGUGCAUCCAAGGUCCUUUAUGGUCUGGCUGCUCUGCCUACCAGAUCUCCCUGGUCUCCCACAUGUAAGCCCUCCAUCCAUAUCUAGCUACGCACAAUUCCCAAACCUAACUUAACGUUCUCAUGCCUUCCUUUUUUUCCCACAUGGGUCACUUCUUCUCCACAUGGGUUGCCUCUGCCUGCCUAUCUACUUCAUGAAUUUCUUAUUUGUUGAGACAGCUUCAAGGCUGCCUCUUCAGAGAGGAGCUCCUUAAUGACUCUCGCUGGAGCUUGAGGUUCCUUUCUUUAUGUUUCUAUUUUAUUCACGGUACUUUGCUUUUCUCUGCACUGUAUGGUACAUCUUCUGAACAAAUGCCUCUCAGACAUCACCCUACUCCAGAAUCAUGAGUAGAACUUACAAACUCAGAUUGAUGAGUCUCAUCAUAGGAAACUAGCUGUUGAUAUUAAUAAAAUUCCAAGAUACCUGGUACACAUCCAUGUGUUAGAACAAUUGCUUUGAUUUAGUCAUCUCCUUAUACUUAGAAUGUAAUCAGUACAUAAAGUGUGUGUUAUGGGCACUUCAAAGGCUGUUGAAACAAGACAUUCUGUUUCUGUUAAGCAGAAACCUGUUCAUGGGCACUGAACAGCCGGUGUACCUGGUACAUGACAGGUCUUCAACAAGUUAGCCAUGUUGGGAUGAAUGAAUGAAUGAAACCAGCUUAGAGAAUUGAGAAAAGCCAACUAAUAACAUGGCCUCGAGUCAAGUAUUACAAAGGCUUAUAAAAGUUAUCUGAGCUUUGGGUGAUUGCAAUAAGUAGUGAUCUCUCUAAAGUCUACCUGGAGACGUGAUGUUGUGAUUUGGAUUUUAAUACUAGAUAGUAGUAAUAGUAUUUUGUGGAGUAGACAGCCUUGUAUGAAAAUCAGGUACUCUGAUUUGAAUUCUUCCCUGGAUGUGGUGUCAUUUUACUUCUAGAUGGUUCCAGUCUGGGCUGACUGCCUAUAGUGCACUUGAAAUAUUUUUUCAAAAAAUAAUCUUUUCAAGGGUAUAGAUAUUCAUCAGAAGCUCAUAAAUCCCACACCACAAAGAAAUACACUAUAUUGAUGAAAUUUGCUUUUCAGUUUAACCACUUAAAAAUUUUUUUUAGAUUUAUAUAAGAUGAGCAAAUUUCAUGUAUUUCAAAUAUACAGAUUUAAGAGCAUAGUGACACUUCCCCUACAUCUUUUAACGAACUAAGGACCUUUUUAGAAAAUCCUGAGAGUGUAUUAAAUGUUCCUUGGUCUUACUUACUUUUGUGGCUACUUAACAAUGAUGUCCUCCUUCAAACACACUAGGUUUGCUUUUUUUUUUUUU